GAACGACGCUGGCGGCAUGCCUAACACAUGCAAGUCGAACGAGACCUUCGGGUCUAGUGGCGCACGGGUGCGUAACGCGUGGGAAUCUGCCCUUAGGUUCGGAAUAACUUCGGGAAACUGAAGCUAAUACCGGAUGAUGACGUAAGUCCAAAGAUUUAUCGCCUAAGGAUGAGCCCGCGUUGGAUUAGCUAGUUGGUGGGUAAAGGCCUACCAAGGCGACGAUCCAUAGCUGGUCUGAGAGGAUGAUCAGCCACACUGGGACUGAGACACGGCCCAGACUCCUACGGGAGGCAGCAGUGGGGAAUAUUGGACAAUGGGCGAAAGCCUGAUCCAGCAAUGCCGCGUGAGUGAUGAAGGCCUUAGGGUUGUAAAGCUCUUUACCCGAGAUGAUAAUGACAGUAUCGGGAGAAUAAGCUCCGGCUAACUCCGUG
rnacentral:rRNA from 1 species